rnacentral:rRNA from 1 species
GAUGAACGCUGGCGGCGUGCCUAAUACAUGCCAGUCGAGCGAACGGACGAGAAGCUUGCUUCUCUGAUGUUAGCGGCGGACGGGUGAGUAACACGUGGAUAACCUACCUAUAAGACUGGGAUAACUUCGGGAAACCGGAGCUAGUACCGGAUAAUAUUUUGAACCGCAUGGUUCAAAAGUGAAAGACGGUCUUGCUGUCACUUAUAGAUGGAUCCGCGCUGCAUUAGCUAGUUGGUAAGGUAACGGCUUACCAAGGCAACGAUGCAUAGCCGACCUGAGAGGGUGAUCGGCCACACUGGAACUGAGACACGGUCCAGACUCCUACGGGAGGCAGCAGUAGGGAAUCUUCCGCAAUGGGCGAAAGCCUGACGGAGCAACGCCGCGUGAGUGGUGAAGGUCUUCGGAUCGUAAAACUCUGUUAUUAGGGAAGAACAUAUGUGUAAGUAACUGUGCACAUCUUGACGGUACCUAAUCAGAAAGCCACGGCUAACUACGUG